rnacentral:rRNA from 1 species
UACGAAGGGGGCUAGCGUUGUUCGGAUUUACUGGGCGUAAAGCGCACGUAGGCGGUUUGUUAAGUGAGAGGUGAAAUCCCAGAGCUCAACUCUGGAACUGCCUUUCAUACUGGCAAGCUAGAGUCCGGAAGAGGUAAGUGGAACUCCUAGUGUAGAGGUGGAAUUCGUAGAUAUUCGCAAGGAACACCCGUGGCGAAGGCGGCCCCCUGGGCCGUACCUGACGCUGAGGCGCGAAGGCUAGGGGAGCGAACGGG